CAGCUUUGGUCUCCACCAUUCACAGAUCUUCCCUCUCUAUUCACCCCACCGCCUCCCUGCCGUGAGUAUAGGAUCCCUCUCCUCCAUCUCUGGCUUUGCUUUCUCUAGCCCACAACUACCACAUGUCCC